AGGAUAAUAGUUUAACCAAAACAUUUAACUUGCACUUAAAAAAUUUUGAUCCAAUUAAAUUAUCUU
rnacentral:tRNA from 1 species